rfam:Schistosoma mansoni strain Puerto Rico chromosome W, complete genome
GCACUGCUGCGGAGUCCCACAAUAGGACGAAACGGCCGUUCCAGUGC